rnacentral:misc_RNA from 1 species
GGCGGUGGCGGCGACGACGAAGACGAAGACGAUGACGACGAUGACGACGGCGGCUCCGGUCGUAUGCCGGCGAGACGAGGGGGCUCAAUCUCGCGCUCUAUCGUCUUUCAUGGCUCCAAAAAAACCCGAGGAACCCGAGCGGAAGCCGCUCAUCGGUCGCGUUGGUACUAAUUUAAAAAUGGGCAUAGUCGGGAUACCAAACGUAGGGAAAUCAACUUUCUUCAAUGUUCUCACCAAGAGUCAAGCGGCGGCCGAGAAUUUUCCUUUCUGCACCAUUGAUCCAAAUGAAAGUCGCGUUCCGGUGCCCGACCAAAGGUUCGACUAUCUCUGCGAAUACUUUAAGCCAGCUAGUAAAGUUCCGGCUUUCCUGCACAUAAUGGACAUCGCUGGGCUGGUGAAAGGCGCCGCCGAGGGGCAAGGCUUAGGAAACAAUUUUCUCUCGCACAUCGGAGCUUGUGAUGGCAUAUUUCAUCUCUGUCGUGCCUUUGAAGACGAUGACGUUACCCACGUGGAAGGCGACGUAAAUCCCGUGAGAGAUCUCGAUAUUAUCAGCGAGGAGCUGCGAUUGAAGGAUGUAGAAUUCUUGAACACGCAUCUUGAGAAACUCGAAAAGCUUGUAAUUCGCGGUAAUGAUAAGAAGCUGAAACCUGAAUACGAUACACUUCUAAAAGUAAAAAGCGUUCUAGUGGACGACGUAAAACACAUAAGGUUUGCCGACUGGAGUGCCAAUGAUAUUGAAGUACUCAACAAAUAUUUAUUCCUUACAUCGAAACCAAUUAUCUAUUUGGUUAAUCUGUCGGAAAAGGAUUAUAUACGGAAAAAGAAUAAGUGGUUAAUUAAAAUAAAAGAAUGGGUUGACAAAAACGAUGCAGGAGCAGUGUUAAUCCCUUUCAGCGGCAUUUUCGAAAACAAGAUCUUCGACAUGGACGAGACGGAUCGCUCAAAAUAUUUCGAGGAACAGAAAGUCACCAGUGCACUUGAUAAGAUUAUUGUACAAGGAUACAAGGCAUUACAGUUACAAUACUUUUUCACUGCUGGUCAUGAUGAAGUUAAGGCGUGGACAAUUCAGAAAGGCACGAAAGCACCUCAAGCUGCUGGAAAGAUACACACGGAUUUCGAAAAAGGAUUUAUUAUGGCGGAAGUAAUGAAAUACGAAGAUUUCAAGAAUGAAGGCUCGGAAGGCGCAGUGAAGGCUGCCGGCAAGUAUAGACAGCAAGGACGUAAUUACGUAGUUGAGGAUGGCGAUAUUAUCUUCUUCAAGUUCAACGCAGGAGCCGGGUUAAAAGACGCGAAAAAGAAGUGAUGGCACGCGUUUCUCAUGUUGUUGCUUGUCUACCUGUACAUCAACAUGAUCCUACUAUCUUGCUGCACGCAUCGCCGACGCGUCAAUCAAUCCAAUUCGCUUUCUCCCUGACUUUCAUUCACAAUAAACAAAAUUACGCGCAGAAACAACGUACUCAAUGGCACGGUAUAAUGUCCCUUUUAUAGCAAACAAUGAUAUCAAUGUAGUGGCAAUCGAAACAAGCUGCAUUUUCGCUUUUCUUAUUGUGUGUACAUAAACAGCAGAUCUCCUGAGUUGCAUUUUUCGCUAGGAAAAUGGACGAAUUUGAAAGGAAAGGAAAGAAAACGACAAACACGUAACGCAUUUCUUUGUACUUUUCUGUAUUUAUUCGACAAAUAUUAAAUUAGAUUGAUAUAUGAAAAUUGUAA